rnacentral:lncRNA from 1 species
CACUGGUCAUAGAGUGGCUUCAUUUCCAGUGGGAUACCCAGAAGAUAUUUUAUUUUAAACUGCAUGACUCCUGCUACAAAGGGCUGUGUCCCACCAUUAAAGCCUCUUUUCCUUCUUGCAACUUGCUAGAAUGGUGCUCAGGUAGCUCCUGCAUCCCCCAGAGUUUCUGCUUGGCUCCCAUCAGGCCAGCCUAAGAUAUUUACCUGUGGGAAAGCAGAAGUCAGCUUGGGGAGGAUAUGUAUGUGAGGCCCUCUGUGUCUCUGCAACGUAGGGAGACGUGGUGGCAAUGAGAUCAGCCAAAACAGGGCUUGGGAAAAACAAGCAUCUCUCCAGGUUAGCCCAGAGGAUGGCAAGUGAAGAGUCCUUCCUUUAUUGCAGACUCAGGUCACUUCUAUGCUGCAGUGCCUCAGCCUGCCUUGGUAAGCCCUACAGAGGCACACAGGCAACGGAGAGGAAGGGGCAAUGCAUGUCAGGUCACACACAGCCCAACAUGUGCAUGCUCCUGGUGAUGGCUCCGUCUGCCUGGCACAUGGUGACCUUCCUGUGCACAUGUGGGAGCACACACGUGUCCAGGGACAGGGAGGAGGGGGGAAGAGGGCAAAUGCCUGCCUUGCAGGGUCACCGUCACCCACAAACCUUUCAGCUCUCCCAGCUGGAGCCAAGUUUCAUCCUCUAGACCUUGUGAACAAAGGCCAGUCCCUUCUUGCUGCACGGCGGGGUGGUUAGAACUCUCCUCAUUAACAGUGUUAUAUACAUAUAAAUAUAUAUAUAUAUCUAUAUCUUUAUAUAUAUUUUUCCCCAGCACUGUAGACAUGAGCUGAACUUCUCUUUAACAAAAUGAGAAAAGGGCCAUUUUAUUUUUUGCCAUUGGUUUGUUUUUGGAACUAGCUCUGUGAAAGGCAACUCUAAAAGCGCAAGUGUGUGUGUAAUGGAACCGAUCAGAAAUGAAACCACCCAACCAAGGAAUGAGCCAAACCCAGUGAUGAAAACAAACGAACAACAACAACAAAAAAAAGCUUUUUAUUUUUUCUUUUCUCAAUGUAUUUAACUUCUGUUAUCUUGUUUCUGUUUCUUUACAUGUAUGAAUGCUCUGCUCUUCUGUGAUCUUAAAAAAAAAAAAUACAAAAAAAAUUACAAAAAAAUACAAAAAUGAAAUAAACGUGAAAAGGAGGUGAUGUUCCUUCGUUUC